rnacentral:lncRNA from 1 species
AUGUGGACGCGGACAGUUCUGUACGGGGACGCGGACAGUUCUGUACGGGGACGCGGACAGUUCUGUACGGGGACAGUUCUGUACGGGGACAGUUCUGUACGGGGACGCGGACAGUUCUGUACGGGGACGUGGACAGUUCUGUACGGGGACGAGGACAGUUCUGUACGGGGAAGCGGACAGUUCUGUACGGGGACGUGGACAGUUCUGUACGGGGAAGCGGACAGUUCUGUACGGGGACGUGGACAGUUCUGUACAGGGACGAGGACAGUUCUGUACGGGGAAGCGGACAGUUCUGUACGGGGACGCGGACAGUUCUGUACGGGGACGCGGACAGUUCUGUACGGGGACGAGGACAGUUCUGUACGGGGACGCGGACUGUUCUGUACGGGGACGAGGACAGUUCUGUACGGGGACGCGGACAGUUCUGUACGGGGACGAGGACAGUUCUGUACGGGGACGCGGACUGUUCUGUACGGGGACGAGGACAGUUCUGUACGGGGACGCGGACAGUUCUGUACGGGGACGAGGACAGUUCUGUACGUGGACAGUUCUGUACAGGGACGCGGACAGUUCUGUACGGGGACGCGGACAGUUCUGUACGGGGACGCGGACAGUUCUGUACGGGGACGCGGACAGUUCUGUACGGGGACGCGGACUGUUCUGUACGGGGACGUGGACAGUUCUGUACGGGGACGAGGACAGUUCUGUACGGGGAAGCGGACAGUUCUGUACGGGAACGCGGACAGUUCUGUACGGGGACGCGGACAGUUCUGUACGGGGACGCGGACAGUUCUGUACGGGGACGCGGACAGUUCUGUACGGGGACGCGGACUGUUCUGUACGGGGACGUGGACAGUUCUGUACGGGGACGAGGACAGUUCUGUACGGGGAAGCGGACAGUUCUGUACGGGAACGCGGACAGUUCUGUACGGGGACGCGGACAGUUCUGUACGGGGACGCGGACAGUUCCAGAACGUGGACAUGAUCAGUGCAACACAAUCAACUAAACCCAGUCUUUACAGUGGGUUACAUUAG